GCGCACUACAGUGGUCGCCGGAAUUACCUGAUAAUUAUAAAGGCGAUCGAGAGGGAAUGAGCUUUNUAAGAGGCUCAGGAACGAGGAAUUGCUAGUAAUCGCGGACUCAUUAAGACGCGAUGAAUACGUCCCUGUUCUUUGUACACACCGCCCGUCGUUAUCGAAGAUGAAGACAGGCGCGAACGAUCUACCAGAAAGUGAGCGCAGGUCUUUAGAUCUGAUACAAGUCGUAACAAGGUAGCUGUAGGAGAACCUGUAGCUGG
rnacentral:rRNA from 1 species